GACGAACGCUGGCGGCGUGCUUAACACAUGCAAGUCGAACGGUGAAGCUCCAGCUUGCUGGAGUGGCUCAGUGGCGAACGGGUGAGUAACACGUGAGCAACCUGCCCCUGACUCUGGAAUAAGCGCUGGAAACGGCGUCUAAUACUGGAUACGAGAAGGGUCCGCAUGGGCACUUUCUGGAAAGUUUUUCGGUUGGGGAUGGGCUCGCGGCCUAUCAGCUUGUUGGUGAGGUAAUGGCUAACCAAGGCGACGACGGGUAGCCGGCCUGAGAGGGCGACCGGCCACACUGGGACUGAGACACGGCCCAGACUCCUACGGGAGGCAGCAGUGGGGAAUAUUGCACAAUGGGCGAAAGCCUGAUGCAGCGACGCCGCGUGAGGGAUGACGGCCUUCGGGUUGUAAACCUCUUUCAGCAGGGAAGAAGCGAAAGUGACGGUACCUGCAGAAGAAGCACCGGCUAACUACGUG
rnacentral:rRNA from 1 species